UACGGGGGGGGCAAGCGUUGUUCGGAAUUACUGGGCGUAAAGGGCUCGUAGGCGGCCACUAAGUCGGAUGUGAAAUCCCCAAGCUUAACUUGGGAACUGCAUCCGAUACUGGAUGGCUUGAAUCCGGGAGAGGGAUGCAGAAUUCCAGGUGUAGCGGUGAAAUGCGUAGAUAUCUGGAGGAAUACCGGUGGCGAAGGCGGCAUCCUGGACCGGCAUUGACGCUGAGGAGCGAAAAGCU
rnacentral:rRNA from 1 species